GAUGACCGCUAGCGGCAGGCCUAACACAUGCAAGUCGAGGGGUAACUAGAGUGAUAGCAAUAUUACUUUGGCUAGUCCGGCGCACGGGUGCGUAACACGUAUGCAAACUACCUUAUACUGGGGAAUAACUUCGAGAAAUCGGAGCUAAUACCCCAUAACAUUGCGAAGAGGCAUCUCUUUGAAAUUAAAGCUCCGUCGCUAUAAGAUGGGAAUGCGUCCAAUUAGCUAGUUGGUGAGGUAACGGCUCACAAAGGCGACGAAUGGUAGGGGUUUUGAGAAGAUGAUCCGCCACACUGGGACGGAGACACGGACCAGAGUCCUACGGGAGGCAGCAGUGAGGAAUAUUGCGCAAUGGACGAAAGUCUGACGCAGCCAGGCCGCGUGCAGGAUGACGGCCCUAUGGGUUGUAAGCUGCUUUUGUACUUGAAUAAACCCUUCUACUGGUAGGAGGCUGAAGGUACCGUAAGAAUAAGCACCGGCUAACUCCGUGCCAGCCGCCGCAGUAACAC
rnacentral:rRNA from 1 species